AAUGUUUUUUUGUUUAAGAUUGAUUUUUUGUUUUCAUUUUCUACGUGUUUGGUCUUUUCUUUCGUGAGGGUGUGUAGAUUUUGUGCGUGAGUCAAAACAUACUGCUCAGGAGGAGGAAGAUACAGUAGACGAGAUGAAAAUUCAAAGUAAAGGAACAGGAGACGGAAGGAAGGAAAGCAAAUAAGUUUCUAUUUAU
rnacentral:ribozyme from 1 species